UCUUGGUCAUUUAGAGGAAGUAAAAGUCGUAACAAGGUCUCCGUUGGUGAACCAGCGGAGGGAUCAUUACAGAGUUAUACAACUCCCAUACCAUCUGUUAACCUACCCAGUUAUGCCUCGGCGUAAGCUCGGUUGGAGGCACCUGCAGCUACCCUGUAGUUGCGGACUGCCAACUCCAGCCGCGGCCCGCCGGCGGUACACUAAACUCUGUUUUAUUUUAUAUUCUGAGCGUCUUAUUUUAAUAAGUUAAAACUUUCAACAACGGAUCUCUUGGUUCUGGCAUCGAUGAAGAACGCAGCGAAAUGCGAUAAGUAAUGUGAAUUGCAGAAUUCAGUGAAUCAUCGAAUCUUUGAACGCACAUUGCGCCCAUCAGUAUUCUGGUGGGCAUGCCUGUUCGAGCGUCAUUUCAACCCUUAAGCCUAGCUUAGUGUUGGGAAUCUGCUGUACUGCAGUUCCUUAAAGACAGUGGCGGAGCGGCGGUAGUCCUCUGAGCGUAGUAAUUUAUUUCUCGCUUUUGUCAGGCUCUGUCCUCCCGCCAUAAAACCCCCAAUUUUUUAGUGGUUGACCUCGGAUCAGGUAGGAAUACCCGCUGAACUUAAGCAUAUCAAUAAGGCGGAGGA
rnacentral:rRNA from 1 species